GGAUUGCCCCAGUAACGGCGAGUGAAGCGGCAACAGCUCAAAUUUGAAAUCUGGCCCCCCCCGGGGGGCCCGAGUUGUAAUUUGCAGAGGAUGCUUUGGGCGAGGCGCCUUCCGAGUUCCCUGGAACGGGACGCCACAGAGGGUGAGAGCCCCGUCUGGUCGGACGCCGAGCCUCUGUAAAGCUCCUUCGACGAGUCGAGUAGUUUGGGAAUGCUGCUCAAAAUGGGAGGUAUAUGUCUUCUAAAGCUAAAUACCGGCCAGAGACCGAUAGCGCACAAGUAGAGUGAUCGAAAGAUGAAAAGCACCUUGAAAAGGGGGUUAAACAGUACGUGAAAUUGUUGAAAGGGAAGCGCUCGUGACCAGACUUGGGGCGGGCGGAUCAGCCGGCGUUCUCGCCGGCGCACUCCGCCCGUCCCAGGCCAGCAUCAGUUCGCGCCGGGGGACAAAGGCGGCGGGAACGUGGCUCCCCAGGGAGUGUUAUAGCCCGCCGCGCCAUGCCCCGGGGGCGGACUGAGGGCCGCGCAUCACUGCAAGGAUGCUGGCGUAAUGGUCACCAGCGACCCGUCUUGAAACACGGGCCAAGGAGUCGUCCUCGUAUGCGAGUGUUCGGGUGUCAAACCCCUACGCGGAAUGAAAGUGAACGUGGGUGAGAGCUUCGGCGCAUCAUCGACCGAUCCUGAUGUUCUCGGAUGGAUUUGAGUAGGAGCAUACGGGGCCGGACCCGAAAGAAGGUGAACUAUGCCUGUGUAGGGUGAAGCCAGAGGAAACUCUGGUGGAGGCUCGCAGCGGUUCUGACGUGCAAAUCGAUCGUCAAACAUGGGCAUGGGGGCGAAAGACUAAUCGAACCUUC
rnacentral:rRNA from 1 species